rnacentral:hammerhead_ribozyme from 1 species
GACGAGUUCCAAACAGGACGAAACGCGCGUC